rnacentral:rRNA from 1 species
AUGAGCUCCACGAUGAAGAGGGUGGUGGUGUCGGUGAAGUACUCCUGCUCCCCGGCGGUGUACCACGACGGCGUGUUGAGGAUGCCGAUCUUGGUCAGGAGCUCCGGGAUGAAGAUGCCCGCCGCGCCCAGCAUCGCCCACCGGCAGUGCACCAGCUCCGCCUGCACGUUCCACCGCAAGCUCUCCGGGACUUACCAAGACCCCAGGGGUCAAAGCCGAAGUCUCCGGGAAGGCUGCAUCAAGAACAACGAGACGCACACACACACUGUCAGUGUCAAGAGUCGAUCGCAGCAUAUUUCGGCAUGCAUGGGCGCAGUGUGUCCGAGUAACCAACCUGCCGUCGAGCCACGGCGGAGGGGUGCUCCCGGGGAACCAGAUGGGCCUCUCGGGCGCCGCGGCGCGCACGGCGAACGACGCGCGCGACCCCGCCGCCUUGCCGGCAGCGCCAAGGAAGGAGCUCCGGGCGCCGGCCAGCCCAUUGCUGGGGAGCGCCGCGACGGCGGUGGCGGAGGAGGAGGAGACCAGCGCCAUCGUUGUACCACCAGUGCGCUCGCUGGCUGUGCCUGUAGUGGGGAAGGCGAGCGCGCGCGUGCGUGGUGUGAGAGUGGAAUUGAGCCUGUGGUGCGCGCGGCAGUUUAUGGGGAUCUAGGCGCGCGGCGCCGGGUGGCCCUGGCUUAUCCGGGAGGAGAUAGCGAGCGCGGCCGUGGCGUGCCACGCGGCGGGGGGAAUCCGAUCCCCUGGCUCCGCGGCGCCGGGGCCUUGCUGACGUGGAGGCCAUCCCGGGCGCGACCUGAUGAAAAUCGGGGCCGAGGCUCGCGAUUGGACGACGUGCUCCGCAUUUGGCACGCCAGUUGCAGCCUUCAGGGUACUAUCGGCAUGAUGAUAUGUGCCUAUAUCCACGCAGAUUUUCUGCUUAGACAAUGUACGUAUCCAGGGAGAAAUGACAAUUAA